GGGGAUAUAGCUCAGUUGGUAGAGCGCUUGAAUGGCAUUCAAGAGGUCAUCGGUUCGAUCCCGACUAUCUCCACCA
rnacentral:tRNA from 1 species